UUGGCGGACGGGUGAGUAACGCGUGGGGAACCUGCCCUGUACAGGGGGAUAACACUUAGAAAUAGGUGCUAAUACCGCAUAAGCGCACAGUAUCGCAUGAUACAGUGUGAAAAACUCCGGUGGUACAGGAUGGACCCGCGUCUGAUUAGCUGGUUGGCGGGGUAACGGCCCACCAAGGCGACGAUCAGUAGCCGGCCUGAGAGGGUGGACGGCCACAUUGGGACUGAGACACGGCCCAAACUCCUACGGAAGGCAGCAG
rnacentral:rRNA from 1 species